rnacentral:rRNA from 1 species
UACGUAGGGUGCGAGCGUUGCCCGGAUUUAUUGGGCGUAAAGGGCGCGCAGGCGGCCACGCACGUCCGUUGUGAAAUCCCCCGGCUCAACCGGGGAACGGGCGCCGAUACGACCGCCCUGGAGGGACGUAGGGGGACCUGGAACUUCCGGUGGAGCGGUGAAAUGCGUUGAGAUCGGAAGGAACGCCCGUGGCGAAAGCGAGGUCCUGGACGUCUUCUGACGCUGAGACGCGAAAGCGUGGGGAGCAAACAGG